CACGAACCGUACGAACGUUAUUCGGAAUUACUGGGCUUAAAGGGUUUGUAGGCGGCCUUGUAAGUCAGGUGUGAAAUCCCUCGGCUCAACCGAGGAAUGGCGCUUGAUACUGCAAGGCUUGAGGGAGACAGGGGUAAGCGGAACGUGAUGGUGGAGCGGUGAAAUGCGUUGAUAUCAUCAGGAACACCGGUGGCGAAAGCGGCUUACUGGGUCUCAUCUGACGCUGAGGAACGAAAGCUAGGGGAGCGAACAG
rnacentral:rRNA from 1 species